AGGGGCCCGUCGGGGAGGGAGACAGUGGCCCGUCGGGGACGGAGACAGUGGCAGAUGAGGGGAUAGAGGAGGUGGCAAGCCCUGGGGUGGAGGAGGUGGCAAUGUAUAAGGCAAAAAAACGUGCUGUUGACAUGUCGGAGAUGGUGAUUAACAAGAGGCUGAAAGUGCCGUCACAGUACGUCAUCUCUCUUUUCACGGCUGAGACGAAGAGGGUGAGGUUCGUUGACGGGACGUACCCUAAUUUGUUCCAGGAGGUCGACCAUGCUAAGUGAAAAGCAUUCGAGGCUAAGUGGCGAAGAAUGUUGCCCGGAUAAGUAUUGUAUGAUUUAAUAGACUAUCAGAACUCGUAUAUGCUUCGUUUAACGUUUUUUCUAUUUUAUUUCCAGAACCACGCACAUGAUAGUUGGAAAGACGAUAUCGGACGUAUACAAGUGGUUCCAUGAUAUCACCACUCAGAGGGUUUGGCUCGCCGACGAUCACAUUGACAUAGCCAUGAACUUGUUGCGCGAUCGAGUUGAGAGAGAUCCACAAUCAUUCCACAAGCCUGGCCAAAUAAUAAUAAACACCGAGUUCUUCCGUGCCGUUACCAUUGAGUAUCAGUCGCUCCAACUUCUAGAUAAUGAGUACGGGCUUCCUGCGUAUAUGAUCGAGUGGGUCAUUGGGCUAUCACCGAGUGUUGGGGGAAAGCCAUGGGGCGGGGUUGUACGCAUUUGUACAUUCCAGUGAUUGUGAAUCAGCACUGCAUUGUACUAGAUAUCGUCUUCCCUGAUUCGACGAUAUAUGUGUACGACCCCGAUCAUUAAUGUCUGACAUAGGGGCAGCUUGAGCAGAACUUAGAGCCUGUAACUGUGAUCGUUCCUCUGAUGGCUAGACAUGUGGGCUUGUCUAUGGAGGAUAAGCUAGCCAUCAUGCGGGACAGGACGACGGCGAGACAGUCUAAAUCGGGCGACUGUGGGAUUUUCGCAAUCAAAUACAUAGAAUUUUUUAGUAUAUCACAUAAGGUUGAUGGAAUCAACCAAUCAUGGAUACAGAAUUGGCAAAAUAAGUUA